UUAUAUGAGAGUUUGAUCCUGGCUCAGGAUGAACGCUGGCGGCGUGCCUAAUACAUGCAAGUCGAACGAGUUCUGAUUAUUGAAGGGUGCUUGCAUCUUGAUUUAAUUUUGAACGAGUGGCGGACGGGUGAGUAACACGUGGGUAACCUGCCCUUAAGUGGG
rnacentral:rRNA from 1 species